rnacentral:rRNA from 1 species
UACGUAGGGGGCUAGCGUUGUCCGGAAUCAUUGGGCGUAAAGCGCGUGUAGGCGGCCCGGUAAGUCCGCUGUGAAAGUCCAGGGCUCAACCCUGGGAUGCCGGUGGAUACUGUCGGGCUCGAGUCCGGAAGAGGCGAGUGGAAUUCCUGGUGUAGCGGUGAAAUGCGCAGAUAUCAGGAGGAACACCUAUUGCGAAGGCAGCUCGCUGGGACGUAACUGACGCUGAGACGCGAAAGCGUGGGGAGCAAACAGG